UCCAAAUAUAUCCGUGAAAUGGCAGCGAGUUUAGGUGGUGAAUUAUCUAAGCUAGUAGUAACAUAUGGUAUAAUUGUAUUGUUUUUCGUGUGCAAAAUAUGCGAAAGCUCGAAACGCAACUCGUCUCAGAAACUUUUGCACUGGUCCUCUGCGGGUGCGACGUGGUAUGGAGGCCCAAAUGGCGCUGGAAGUGACGGAGGAGCAACGGGAACCUUGUUUCCGAAGCUCCAUUUGCUUCCAUGGUGACUGGAAUUGGGCCAUCCCUCUACAAGUCUGGCAAGGAAUGUGUAGCUUGCUACAUGAUUAAGUGUAGGAAGCAUCCAUUAUGUUCGCGUAAAAUGGUGAUAACGGACCUUUUCCGGGGAGGAGCUUGUCUAUCCGAUGCUGCACAUUUCGACCUCAGUGGAACUGCAUUUGGCGCCAUGGCGGUCCCUGGCCAACAAGACAAACUUCGUGAUGCUGGCAUGUUACAAAUCCGUUAUGCUAGGUAGCCAAUUAGAUUACUUCAGAACCGAGAACAAUAUCAGUUCGCUUAUUCAUUAAUAUCAGUUGGUAUCACAACUCAAUAUCAUUUCGGUUAUUCAUGAAUAUCAGUAGGGUUUUGUAAUAUUCAAAGUCAACCACUGAUAUGUCUUGUGAUGUCAACUGACAAUAAUAAAUCAACGAACUGAUAUAUUUCUUAGUUCUUAUUCUAAUAAUUAAAGAGAAUGGAUUGUGAUUGUGGUACUGGUAGGGGAAAAAAGUAAAGUUCAAGGUGGAAGCAGGGUCGAACCCAAACUACAUGGCGGUAGUGGUUGAGUAUGAAGAAGGGGACGGAGACCUUGGACAGGUGGAUCUAAAGCAAGCAUCGAGCUAGAAAUGAAGCAGUCAUGGGGAGCAGUAUGGAAGCUCGACCCGGGAUUCGAGCUCCAUCGUCCCCUUUCUAUUCGCCUCAUCUCUCAACAUUCACUCCAAACUCUUGUUGCUAAAAAUGCCAUUCCAAUUGGUUGGCGUGCUGGUGCAACUUAUACUACCUCCCUUGUUAACUAUCUUUAAAACUUUUAUAUCACUAUGGCUUCCGCUGCAGUUUCUUGCAUCUGGGAUGCACUUCCCUAUCAUAUCUAUUUAAUUUAUCAUCUUUGCCAACCUCACUUUCUUUUCUUUGUUUGUUUGUUUCUUUUGUCGAAGGCCAAGAGUUAAGAAUAUGAUUUGUCAAG